rnacentral:rRNA from 1 species
UGAUUUUACCCCCUACACCAAGAAUUCCACCUACCUCUCCCACACUCUAGAAUAGUAGUUUCAAAUGCAGUUCUAUGGUUAAGCCAUAGGAUUUCACACCUGACUGACUAUCCCGCCUACGCGCUCUUUACGCCCAGUGAUUCCGAGUAACGCUUGCACCCUCCGUAUUACCGCGGCUGCUGGCACGGAGUUAGCCGGUGCUUAUUCGUUAGAUACCGUCAUUAUCUUCUCUAACAAAAGGAGUUUACAAUCCUAAAACCUUCAUCCUCCACGCGGCGUUGCUGCUUCAGGGUUUCCCCCAUUGAGCAAUAUUCCCUACUGCUGCCUCCCGUAGGAGUCUGGACCGUGUCUCAGUUCCAGUGUGUCCGUUCACCCUCUCAGGCCGGAUCCCCCGGUCAUAGCA